AUUGAACGCUGGCGGCAGGCUUAACACAUGCAAGUCGAGCGGGGGAAGGUAGCUUGCUACUGGACCUAGCGGCGGGCGGGUGAGUAAUGCUUAGGAAUCUGCCUAUUAGUGGGGGACAACAUCUCGAAAGGGAUGCUAAUACCGCAUACGUCCUACGGGAGAAAGCAGGGGAUCUUCGGACCUUGCGCUAAUAGAUGAGCCUAAGUCGGAUUAGCUAGUUGGUGGGGUAAAGGUCUACCAAGGCGACGAUCUGUAGCGGGUCUGAGAGGAUGAUCCGCCACACUGGGACUGGGACACGGCCCAGACUCCGACGGGAGGCAGCAGUGGGGAAUAUUGGACAAUGGGGGGAACCCUGAUCCAGCCAUGCCGCGUGUGUGAAGAAGGCCUUAUGGUUGUAAAGCACUUUCAGUAGGGAGGAAGCGUUGUGUGUUAAUAGUACACAGCGUUGACGUUACCUACAGAAGAAGCACCGGCUAACUCUGUGCCAGCCGCCGCGGUAAGAC
rnacentral:rRNA from 1 species